UAACAGGAUGCUGGACUAGUUGGGGCUUUGGCCUGAUCCAGCAGGCUCUUCUUAUGUUUUGUUCUUAUGUUCUCAACAACUUUGAUGUGUUAUGCAAUAUUGCAAAUUUGUGAAACUAUAAAAUGUUUCUAUAUAAUGACACCAUGUAUGUUUCUUUAUCAAUUUUCUGCACAGCUAUACUUACGUACUUAUAGACAUAUUUAAAAAAUAUUUAGACAUACACCUAUAUGCACACAAGACCAUGCAAGCAGAUUUAUACCGUCGCAUUGAAGAUGCUCCAACCACAUAGUUUCCACUUCAGAAUCCAUAAAAUACGCAAACUUCUGUAUUUUCAACCUAACACACAAACAUCUAAACCAAUUACAUAAAUUUUAAAUUAAUCAAUGCAGCUGCUUGAAACGCCAAGUAAAAGCUCAUUUGUGUCACUUUAUAGCACCACAUAUGGCCAGUUUCCAACUGCCCUCUGAUUUUGCAUUAAUUGUUAGGGAGACAAAGGCGCCAUGGGGAUCCGUGGACUACCGGGACUAAAGGGGCAACCUGGAGAGAAGGGAGCCCCAGGAGAAGCCGGCAUAUCCAUCAUCGGUCCCCGUGGCCCACCAGGACAGCCUGGAACAAGAGGUUUUCCUGGGUUUCCGGGUCAGAUUGGUUUAGACGGCAAACCAGGGCAACCUGGACAGAAGGGAGAAGUGGGCCCAGCUGGUCCCAAAGGACAACCAGGAACCGCUGGACAAAAAGGAGAAAAGGGUCAAUGUGGAGAUUAUCCACACAGGGAAUACCUAAGCACCACACUUGCAGCCCUGCGUUCUAAUCAGAUCCUUACACUGAAGCUGUUGCCUCUUCUCAAUUCAGUGCGGCUGGCUCCACCCCCAGUCAUAAAGAGACGCACCUUCCAGGGUGAACAGGGACAGGCAGGAAUCCAAGGGCCUCCAGGGCCACCUGGGCCACCAGGCCUCCCAGGGACUCCAGGACAACCUGGACCAACUGGACCAGCUGGAAAAGCAGGAGAACCAGGGAAGCCUGGCAAGGAUGGAAAGGGCUUGCCAGGACCUCCUGGACCAAAGGGGGACCCUGGAAUUCAGGGGUACCAUGGAAGAAAGGGUGAGGUGGGUGAGGCUGGCUUACCUGGCACCCCUGGCCUUCCUGGUCCUUCUGGCCCAAAGGGUGAAAAGGGGGAGCCUAGCAUGAAGGGUGAGCCAGGGAUUCCAGGAGCAAAGGGAGAACGUGGAGUUGCAGGGAAGAUGGGCCCCCCAGGUUUGCCAGGGAAAAGGGGGCAGAGGGGCGAGAAAGGAAAACCUGGUGAUCCGGGACCUCCUGGAACCAUAGGACAAAAGGGAGAUAAGGGAGAUUCUGACAAUGCACUUGGAGGAGGUAAAGGGGAACCUGGACCCCCUGGUUUACCUGGACCUCCUGGACCAAAGGGUCCCAAGGGUGAACCAGGAAAGAAUGAAAUGGUAGAUUACAAUGGCAAUAUCAAUGAAGCUUUACAGGAGAUACGAACCUUGGCUCUUAUGGGACCUCCUGGACUACCUGGUGUCGCAGGUCCUCCAGGACUACCUGGACAGAAGGGUGAAAUUGGCCUGCCUGGUCCUCCUGGACAUGAUGGAGAAAAGGGUCUUGAUGGCUUAGCUGGAGAAAAAGGUGAUCAGGGGAUGCCAGGACCUCUAGGCCUAACAGGUCCAAUCGGACUUCCAGGAUUAACAGGAGAGAAAGGAGAACCUGGCGCAAAAGGAGACACUGGAGAUUCAGUACCAGGGCCCCCAGGGCCCCAAGGCCCACCAGGAACACCAGGUCUUCAAGGUGGUCGAGGGCCUAAGGGGGAAGCAGGCAUUUCUGGAAUGAAAGGCGAAAAGGGUGCCCAGGGAGAAAAAGGAGACCGAGGUCCUCUGGGAUUGCCCGGUGCUUCAGGUUUAGACGGCAGGCCUGGCCCACCGGGUACUCCGGGACCAGUUGGAGUUCCAGGACCAGCAGGACCAAAAGGAGAGAGGGGCAAUAAAGGAGACCCUGGAACAGCAGGACCAACAGGACCAGCAGGACUUCCUGGUUCACAAGGCUCACCAGGUGAAAAAGGAAACCGGGGACUUCGAGGUUUUAAAGGCGAGAAGGGUGAGCCGGGGUUACCAGGGCUGGACGGGCUGGAUGCCCCUUGCCCAUUGGUAUGGUGUUACCUUCCCUUUCCUGCAUGUUUCAGUUUGCUUUUCCUUCCUUCCUUUAUUGCAAGACCCUUUCCAUAUCCCCUCCCUUUCUCCCAAAUGCUUGAUGUCCAUUGACACUCAUAACAGCUUUUGGAGUGAGACCAAUUGCUACUACCAUUUUUCUGCAAUAUAUGAGGAUAAAUAUGCUGGUUUAAGGAACAUAAAGUUGCUCGCUCGUAUCUGCUUUACUCCUUCUUUAACUUUCAUGAUCUUACAAAUAUCUCACACCACAUAAAAGAGCAUCUAAUUCACAUAUAUAAACUGUGACCCUUCCGCAGAUCUUGCUAUUCGCCACAUCACCCUGCCUUCCCACUUCUGUCCUGCAACACACCUAUUUCAUAUCCUCUAUUUCAGAAUUACAGGUUUCCCAUGUAUCAUGGCAAAAGACUAUGCAUAGUUCUUUCAUUUUUUUAAUUCUGAAUUUGUAAUUUGUUCAAUUAUAAUCUGUUCCUUGAAGAUUUCAGGAGACAGGUUAUUGACUGGGACCAUAAGGUUUGGAUAUGUUACACUGAUUCUGGCCCAAAUGCACCAGCUACCAAAUAAUUUCCAGGCUCAGUUCAAAGUGCUGUUUUUGCCAUUUAAAGAGAAUCACCUCUCCAGAUGAACCAGCCCAUACCCUGCAGUCUUCAUCAGAGGCUCUUCUCUGUAUGCCCCACCCAAGGAAGGUGCAGAAAGUUAGCCACACAAUAAUGGGUCUUUUCAGUGUUGCCCCCCCCCCCCGUGGAAUAUACCACAUUCAUUACUGGUUACACACACAAGCACACACACUCCUACUCUGAUACACUACAUGGAUACAAACACACACGCAAAAUCUUGUGAAAAGUCAAACUGAUGCCAUAUUCUUAUAACAAAGCAAGAAACCCAAUGUUAAAAUAUGCUAUCUGCUUCAAGCAUGAAAAAAACCUUACUUUUUAACUUGUCACUCUGCUGCCAUAGUUCCUGGACUGCUCUGUAUUCUAAGAGCAUGUAUGAAGUCCAUGCUUUUCAAGUGUGAUAUGCCUAAUUUCUGCUCUUUACUAAUAAAUAUGCUUCCUUCUGCCUCCCAGCCUCUGCAAAACAAACACACUGUUAUGACCACAUCCUUCUGUUGAUCCCCUCAAUUGUAACUCCUGUUCCCUAACUUUGGAUUUUACAUGCAUUAUACAAUUCAUUCCUGCCAAUGGGACCAUUGUACCAAUGGGAACUUCUUCAUUCAUUGUUUAUGGCUCUUCAGUUGUUGCAUUUUGCAGUUGUAUGUACCAGCGGAAAGAUGUACUGUCAGGAGAGUGUCUGCAUUAAGGAUAAUAGGUUUAGAAAACAUGUGGUUAUUUCAGUGUCAAAUGAUCAUUAAUUUAUCAUACUUCUUGCCACUAUAUUUCAAGAUUGCCAUAAUAAAAAAGGUAUUAUUUCGCAUGAGAAAUCUCUAUUUAGAAAGCAUAUUAGUUGUCAGAGGAACAAACCAGUCAUAAUUCUGCCUGAAGUUUGAUCAAUCCACAAGUCUGACCAGCUCUUUGUUUUAAUAGGUUUGUGUGUAUGUAUAAAUGUAUAUGUAUAUAUAUAUCAAACACACACGUUAAAAUACUGGAAUGACUAAUGGGUAAUCCAAUUAGAAAUCUGGGUGACAGGAAUACAGCUUGCUGCACACACUUGACAGUAUUAGGGAACACACUGGGACUUUUCUUUAAACUGGCUCCCCUCAUAUAUUCAUGGCUUGGUAAGUAUAGCCUUAGAAAAUUAUUCUAUUUGUGCUUACAGAUAUUUUAAAUAAUAGAUGCACACACAGCCUGCAAAGCACUAAACAAAACAUCAAAACAUUGUAGUUUAAGGACUGGGUAAAUGCUAUGUCCCCACCAUAGCCUACCGAGAGGAGAGGCUUCUGGAGGCUAAACCAGUCAGUAGUAGCUGUACAUUUAGAAAGUAAUUUAUGAGCCACAGAAAUCAGUGACAAAACUUCCAUAGGUUUUAAUGGAUCUGGAAUCCGCACUUAUUGGACAGUAAACUGAUUGUAUGGAAAGGUCCAACAUGAAUUUGGUUGCAAGAUUCUGAUUUGGAACAUGUGGGCCUUCUAUUAUAUGCAGAGGCAGCCCUCUUGUACCAAACAUGUUUAUUCAAUCUAUGGCUAAGCAAGGUGUAUUACAUUGGGAUAUCUCAUCUAAACAGAUUUUAAAUUUUGAAUAUUUUCUGCAGCUAUAUUAUUUAUUUCCUCUCCUGAUUUAUUUUAGUCUUCUGCUGUCUUGAACUCCUUAAAUCAUUCUUUGUUAUAGGGGGAAGAUGGCUUGCCAGUUCAAGGAUGCUGGAAUAAGUGAAGAUUCUAACCAUGGACUGGCCUGUGUGUGGUCAAACUCCUUGGCUGAUAGCCAAAUAAUGAAACAAGUAAGAGAGUGGAGAUAUUUGUGGAAGUCCUACAGUGGUGACAGAAGAACAUCCUGCUUGAAGGUUUGCUGAAGCUAUUGAAUGAGUUGCCUCCAAGGAGCACGGAAGUAUUCUUGAGCCACGCGCACCAGAGUUUUGUUCCUGAACAGUGGACCUGGUGAGGCUACAGAAGAUGGACACCCCAGUGGUUUUUGCUCUCUCCUUCCAGAGGUCGGCACCAGUGCCAGAUGUGAGAGAAACUGGCUUCUGUUUCAUCAUUUUUCAUUCAAUUCAGUCUGUUUUGAUAAUAGGAGCCUUCGUCCGAAAAUCUUGACAUGUCAUGCAGCAGCUGAUGUGAAGAACAUUAGGGCAUAAGACAACUUUCUGUGGUUGUUGCUUUUUUCAGAAGAGGGGCUAUUUUUCUCAUAUUUCUAAGCAAUAAACUUGAAUAUUGAUUCUGAAAAGCAGCUCAGUGAAGAUACAGCAGCACUUUGCCAUCUUUCCUGGUUGCCCAGUGACAAACAUUCAUUUACUCACGUGAUGAUUCCAUCGUUAACCUUUUCAUGGCUUCUCUUCAAAAGCUACCGUUUAUUUUUCUGCAAGAAAGUUAUUAUCCUUUUGGUGUACUAGAAGUUAAUUUUAAAUUUGAUAAAUGUUUGAUUUCUUUUCUACAUAAUUUUAGUUCUACUCAUUUUCAGACAUUUUUCAUACUAGAAACAUAUUUGUCAUGAAGUAUUUGCUGCCAUGAUAAAACUCUGUUCAAUUUCUCUAGGUUCCCUUUUCAGUGGAACUAUCCCAGUGCUAAAAACAUAAGGGUACCACUUUAACAGACUGUACAAGAUUAUGGGACAAAAGAUUAGGGGGGGAAUAUAACUUUCCAAUAAUGUGCUGACAAUUUUAAUGACAACUUCACCCCUUUUGAAUUUUGAUAGUUUUGUAAUGUCAUCUGAGUUAUUUAAGAAGUCUCAAGUGGAUGCAAUGUAGUCCCAGUAACUUACUAUUUUGUCAACUAGGUUUAAAACUUCUACUGAUUCCUGUAGUCCAUUUGUAUUGUUAAUUUGUUUUAAGUGUAGGUAUCUCUGGGAUGUCUUCUAUUGUGAAGACUUGUGCCAAAAACGCAUUUAGUUCAUCUGUAACUUACUUGAUGGUUUUUUUCUUUUUCUGAAUGCUCCCCCAGGGCUCUAGCACAGUUAAACUGCCCCAACAGCUCCUUGCAUACAACACUUUUGCAUACAUUUGGGCUUCUUUAUCCCUUUCACAGGAGGCAAUUCUGUGUAUACAUCUCUUUACACAUGCAGAUCUGCAUCCUACAUUGCUGAAAAUGGAUUCAUGCAGAAAUAGCAUAUUCACAUUGGAAUGCCCACAAAGCUCUAGAUGAGAACUGUCAGUAAACACUCAAAUAGCAACAACCCAUAAAUUCUUAAGGAAACAGACAUGAUUGCUUUGAUUGUUGGAUGCUUCUUUCACCAGGACAGAAUUUAUGGAAUGAGGCUCCCCCCACCUUCCCUCUAGUCCCCUGAAAGUCUGUUAGUAGGGACUGGGAUACUUUGGGGAUAUGCUGUGGGGGCCUGCAAAUUAAAAUCCCUCACAUCUGAAUAGAACAGCAAUCUGGGAUCUAAACCAUUAUGUUUCAUUGAUUGCUUAUAAAUCAUAGUUUAGUGCAGAGCCUGAACUAUUCAGUAAGAAAAUAGAAGGAUUUCCCAAUACUGAGAACAAACAGUAUAAACUGGUUACUGGAAACCUUAAUUGCCACUGGGUACUAUUUCAUCACUAGAUGAUUUCUGCCACAGCUUUAUCUGCAGAAAAACCAGAAAUGGGCAAGUCAGAAGUGAUACAGGGUAGUUGUUCAUGAGACUUGUGCUUAAGUUCUUGUAAUUAUACCACACUGGGCACAGUUUAGUGCACUAUUAUGAACCAAUGCCAUUGAAAUCAAUGGGGCAUAAACAUGGAUCUGUGUUGCAGUGUACCCAUAAUUUAGAUGUCCUGCUAGGUUUCAAGGAUUGUUACCAUCCCAACCUCCACAUAUACAAUCUGGUCUGCAAAGAGGUGUUCACUGCGAUGUUGGAGGAGGUUCCAUAUGGACAAUGGGGAUGCAUACAGAGGACUGCCCAGCAAUGAGGAGAAAGCCCUCUGCACUUAGGAAUUCUUUAUGUAUGCACCUGCAAAAUUUUGGAUUGGACUGAAUGUUCUUCAGAUCAGGGAGAGUGUGUGCUCACAAAGAACAAGAAGAAAUUGAAUGUUACUUCAAAACAUUUUUUAUAUAAGACUUAUUCAAUGUAAGUAUUAACAGGGACUGCUAUUUUUGCAUAUCAGGUUUGUUGCAGAAGUUCUUGUUUUGUUGAGGUAAGAAUGUGUCCAACUGCAGGGCGGUGUGCCUUUGUACUUUAAUAUAUUCAUUUUUU